rnacentral:rRNA from 1 species
UCCGUAGGCGGGCAAUUAAGUCAGAGGUGAAAUCCCACAGCUCAACUGUGGAACUGCCUUUGAUACUGGUUGUCUUGAGUUAUAGUGAAGUAGAUAGAAUAUGUAGUGUAGCGGUGAAAUGCAUAGAUAUUACAUAGAAUACCGAUUGCGAAGGCAGUCUACUAACUGUAUACUGACGCUAAUGGACGAAGGCGUGGGGAGCGAACAGGAUUAGAUACCCUGGUAGUCC